rnacentral:rRNA from 1 species
UACGGAGGGUGCGAGCGUUAAUCGGAUUUACUGGGCGUAAAGCGUGCGCAGGCGGUUUGUUAAGCGAGAUGUGAAAGCCCCGGGCUCAACCUGGGAACCGCAUUUCGAACUGGCAAACUAGAGUCUUGUAGAGGGGGGUAGAAUUCCAGGUGUAGCGGUGAAAUGCGUAGAGAUCUGGAGGAAUACCGGUGGCGAAGGCGGCCCCCUGGACAAAGACUGACGCUCAGGCACGAAAGCGUGGGGAGCAAACAGG